rnacentral:piRNA from 1 species
GAAAGCCACCAUGCUGGGUAA